UGCGUAGGUGGCUGAAUAAGUUAGGUGUGAAAGUCCUGGGCUUAACCUGGGGACUGCGCCUAAUACUGUUUAGCUAGAGUACUGUAGAGGAAGGUGGAAUUUCCAGUGUAGCGGUGAAAUGCGUAGAUAUUGGAAGGAACAUCUGUGGCGAAGGCGACCUUCUGGACAGAUACUGACACUGAGGCACGAAAGCGUGGGAGCAAACA
rnacentral:rRNA from 1 species